rnacentral:rRNA from 1 species
GAUGAACGCUGGCGGCGUGCUUAACACAUGCAAGUCGAACGGGAUCCAUCAGGCUUUGCUUGGUGGUGAGAGUGGCGAACGGGUGAGUAAUGCGUGACCGACCUGCCCCAUACACCGGAAUAGCUCCUGGAAACGGGUGGUAAUGCCGGAUGCUCCAGUUGAUCGCAUGGUCUUCUGGGAAAGCUUUCGCGGUAUGGGAUGGGGUCGCGUCCUAUCAGCUUGACGGCGGGGUAACGGCCCACCGUGGCUUCGACGGGUGGCCGGCCUGAGAGGGCGACCGGCCACAUUGGGACUGAGAUACGGCCCAGACUCCUACGGGAGGCAGCAGUGGGGAAUAUUGCACAAUGGGCGCAAGCCUGAUGCAGCGACGCCGCGUGAGGGAUGGAGGCCUUCGGGUUGUAAACCUCUUUUAUCGGGGAGCAAGCGAGAGUGAGU